rnacentral:rRNA from 1 species
CCAUCUCUGUAGCAAAAGAGUGGGAAGACCUUCAAGUAGAGGUGACAGACCUAACGAGCUUAGUGAUAGCUGGUUACUUGAGAAAAGGAUCUUAGUCCAACCCAACUUUUACAAAAUACACCUAAAUAAAAACUAAAAUUUGGAGUAAUUCAAAUAAGGUACAGCCUAUUUGAAUCAGGAUACAACCUUUAUAAAUGGGUAAUUAAACUUUUAUGUAAUAAAGUAGGCCUAAGAGCAGCCAUCUUCAAAAAGCGUCAAAGCUUAUUCACAAAUCAACUUAAUCCCCCUAAUUUUUAAAAACCCUUAAUCUCUAUUAAGUAACUCUAUAAAAUUAUAGAACCUAUUAUGUUAAAACUAGUAACAAGAAUAAGAACUUCUCUUUAAUGCAAGUGUAAAUCAGGCUGGACAAACCACUGAUUCUUAACACUUUGAAGCCAGAGUAACAACCUACCAAGAAAAUCUUACUUCACUUAAUGUUAACCUGACACAAGAGCAUUCUCAGACAGAUUGAAAGGAAUAGAAGGAACUCGGCAAAUAUUAACCUCGCCUGUUUACCAAAAACAUCGCCUCUUGAUAAUAUAUAAGAGGUCCAGCCUGCCCAGUGACUCUGUUCAACGGCCGCGGUAUCCUAACCGUGCGAAGGUAGCGUAAUCACUUGUUCUUUAAAUGAGGACUAGUAUGAAUGGCAUUACGAGGGUUAUACUGUCUCCUUUUCCUAAUCAGUGAAACUAAUCUCCCCGUGAAGAAGCGAGGAUGAACAUAUAAGACGAGAAGACCCUAUGGAGCUUUAAACUUCCAGCAAUUAUCUUUUUUAUACCAACCUCAAGGUAAUCAAAUUAACUUUAAUACU